rnacentral:rRNA from 1 species
UACGAAUGGGGCAAGCGUUGUUCGGAAUCACUGGGCUUAAAGCGUGCGUAGGCGGAUUUGCAAGUCAGGAGUGAAAUCCCAGGGCUCAACCCUGGAAUUGCUUUUGAAACUGCAAAUCUAGAAGAUUGAAGAGGUUAGCAGAAUUCCGAGUGUAGAGGUGAAAUUCGCAGAUAUUCGGAGGAAUACCAAUGGCGCAGGCAGCUAACUGGGCAAUUUUUGACGCUGAGGCACGAAAGCGUGGGGAGCAAACAGG